GAUGAACGCUGGCGGCGUGCCUAAUACAUGCAAGUCGAGCGAACAGAUGAGGAGCUUGCUCCUCUGACGUUAGCGGCGGACGGGUGAGUAACACGUGGAUAACCUACCUAUAAGACUGGGAUAACUUCGGGAAACCGGAGCUAAUACCGGAUAAUAUAUUGAACCGCAUGGUUCAAUAGUGAAAGACGGUUUUGCUGUCACUUAUAGAUGGAUCCGCGCCGCAUUAGCUAGUUGGUAAGGUAACGGCUUACCAAGGCAACGAUGCGUAGCCGACCUGAGAGGGGGAUCGCCCACACUGGAACUGGGACACGGUCCAGACUCCUACGGGAGGCAGCAGUAGGGAAUCUUCCGCAAUGGGCGAAAGCCUGACGGAGCAACGCCGCGUGAGUGAUGAAGGUCUUCGGAUCGUAAAACUCUGUUAUUAGGGAAGAACAAAUGUGUAAGUAACUAUGCACGUCUUGACGGUACCUAAUCAGAAAGCCACGGCUAACUACGUG
rnacentral:rRNA from 1 species